ensembl:lncRNA
UGAAGAAAUACAGCUACACAUGGGUUUAUAUAAUGGAUGAGAUGCGAAAACCACUUUAAAAGACAUGUCAUUGUUUUGUUGCCAAGUUUCUAUAACCAAUGUAUAGAAAAGAUGAAACGAGCCAUUAUUUUGCCAUUAGUCGCAGCAUUUGUGAGUUAGCAAUUUUUACCCACAUUAUUCUUCAUUAUCUUUAUUCCGUUGUUUUUAAACUGGUUUUUGGAAUACAUUUUGAUAUGGCUCUUUAAAAUUUCUUCAAGGUAGUCUGACUUGGAGAAGAUUGUGUCUUUUCAAUUCACAUACUUUAAAUACACAUAUUGAGAACUGAACACUUAAUAAAAACCCUCACUUUGCUAAGGCUGGUGGAGCAAGUCAACAGGUUCCCCGGACUUUGCAGGUGAAGCUGCCACCAGUGUACCCAGUCCACAGCCUCAGACAGAGCCCGGACCCUGCCUGCGUCUCAUACAGAGCCAGGCUGCCCACGUGAGCCUCCCCACAGGGUGGCCUUGCACAGGGCGUCAGUGGUCUCCCCAGCAAGGUGCAGCCUUCCCUGGAGUUGUUCUCUGGUGGGAAUGGCAUGAACCACUGCAGGGUGGCUGGCCCGCUGACCGGGCCCCUGACCUUCAGGCUGAUCUGCAGCACGACGGCGAUCAGCUGAUGAGAUCACUGUGUGAGGUGAACAGCUAGGAAUUCCUGGCAAACAAACAGCUUACUUAAAAGUUCGAGGAGGAGCAGGAGCAAUCCGGUUUGUGUAUCACAGUAAUGAUUUGCCAGGUUCCUAGUGGAGGGCAUCUGCAAGGAGAGGAAUAGCCAUGGAUAUAGCUGAACACAGAGUGAUUACUAGGGCCUGGCUUCGCCUUGGGCUCUUCUGCAUAAGCAUCCUUGGAUACACGCUUGAAGGAACUCGGUAUGAAUGGACAGGGCAGGAGAGGUGGAAAGUGCCAGGGAAGGAAGGAAACAAUGCAGAGAAGGCUGUGGAAGGGAGAGAGCUGAGUGCUUUGACAUUGUAUGACCUUGCCCACGCAGGAGGAAGCUGACGUUAUGGGGAAAGGGGGUCCUGAAAACAGGAAGCUAGAGGAUCCUGGCUGAAGGCAUUGUCUCGUCACCGCUCCUGCUUCCUGUUGAGCCACCCCGAGAGGCCAUCGUGACUGAAUGGAGCUUCCAUUUCCUCGGGGACUCAUUUGAGGGGCUGUUGGAGUAGAGGUGUGUUUUCAGUGGAUGUAAGAUUUGGUGUACAGUAGAUUACAAGUUGGCGUCUUAUUUCUGCUGAGGUUAAACAGACAAGAAUGGAAGAGAGGCUUCCAUGGAAGAGGAGAAAAAUUGCACAUAAAUAAGGCUUCUGCAGAUGUGUCUGAUACUUUUUUUAUAAAUUCUUAAUCUUUCAUUUAAAUUAGAUUUAAUUUGUAGCCCAGUGAUGCCUUUUUAAAAAAGUGUUUAACAUUUUAUUCUAUUUUAAUUAAAAAGUUUUAUAUGAGACAUUAAAAUGUUUUGCCUUUAUAUAAUUACAUUCUAAAGAAUUUGCUGAAAAAUGCUUGCUUUUAGAAUGAAAGUACAGAAAAAGGAAUGUUGUUAACAGUUCAUUAAUGAAGGUUCAUAGCAUUUUUCUUUCUAGUAUAAUGGAGUCUACACAUGUUGUAACAACAAUCCAGUAAGCAAACUUGUGGGUUUUUCCCUUAAGUGCUGAUUAUUUGUCCACUAGUCGAGCAAUUAAAUUAAUCAGUCUACAGACAGGCGAGUUGCACGCUGUGUUUAGUGAUUCAGAUGGCGUCUGACUGUUAGACGCCUGUGCACAGGUUGUGAGAG